AGAGUUUGAUCCUGGCUCAGAGUGAACGCUGGCGGCGUGCCUAACACAUGCAAGUCGAACGAGAACGGAUUUUAGUUUACUAAAGUUGUCAGCUAAGUGGCGCACGGGUGAGUAAUAUAUAGUUAAUUUGCCGGAAAGUUGGGGAUAAUUGUUGGAAACGACUUGUAAUACCCUAUAUGCCUCUAUCACAUAAGUGAGCGAGGGAAAGAUUUAUCGCUUUCCGAUAAGACUGUACGGUAUCAGUUAGUUGGUGAGGUAAUGGCUCACCAAGACUAUGACGCCUAACUGGUUUGAGAGGAUGAUCAGUCACACUGGAACUGAGACACGGUCCAGACUCCUACGGGAGGCAGCAGUGGGGAAUAUUGCACAAUGGAGGAAACUCUGAUGCAGCAACGCCGCGUGGAGGAUGACACAUUUCGGUGCGUAAACUCCUUUUAUAUAAGAAGAUAAUGACGGUAUUAUAUGAAUAAGCUCCGGCUAACUCCGUGCCAGCAGCCGCGGUAAUACGGGGGGAGCAAGCGUUACUCGGAAUCACUGGGCGUAAAGAGCAUGUAGGCUGGUAGAAAAGUUAGAAGUGACAUCCUGUGGCUUAACCAUAGAACUGCUUCUAAAACUCUCUACCUAGAAUAUGGGAGAGGUAGAUGGAAUUUCUGGUGUAGGGGUAAAAUCCGUAGAGAUCAGAAGGAAUACCGAUUGCGAAGGCGAUCUACUGGAACAUUAUUGACGCUGAGAUGCGAGAGCGUGGGGAGCAAACAGGAUUAGAUACCCUGGUAGUCCACGCCCUAAACGAUGCACACUAGUUGUUGCCAUACUAGAUAUGGCAGUAAUGCAGUUAACACAGUAAGUGUGCCGCCUGGGGAGUACGGUCGCAAGAUUAAAACUCAAAGGAAUAGACGGGGACCCGCACAAGCGGUGGAGCAUGUGGUUUAAUUCGACAUACGCGAAGAACCUUACCUGGCCUUGACAUAGAAAGAACUUUCCAGAGAUGAAUUGGUGCUAGCUUGCUAGAACUUUCAUACAGGUGCCGCACGGCUGUCGUCAGCUCGUGUCGUGAGAUGUUGGGUUAAGUCCCGCAACGAGCGCAACCCUCGUGUUUAGUUACUAACAGUUCGGCUGAGGACUCUAGACAGACUGCCUUCGUAAGGAGGAGGAAGGUGAGGACGACGUCAAGUCAUCAUGGCCCUUACGGCCAGGGCUACACACGUGCUACAAUGGGGCAUACAAAGAGCAGCGAUACCGCGAGGU
rnacentral:rRNA from 1 species